AUCUUCCGCAAUGGACGAAAGUCUGACGGAGCAACGCCGCGUGAGUGAUGAAGGUCUUCGGAUCGUACAACUAUGCUGUUAGGGAAGAACAAGUACCGUUCGAAUAGGGCGGUACCUUGACGGUACCUAACCAGAAAGCCAAGGCUAACUACGUGCCAGCAGCCGCGGUAAGGCGAAGGUGGCAAGCGUUAUCCGGAAUUAGUGGUCUUAAAGCGGCCGAAGGCGGUUUCUUAAGUCUGAUGUGAAAGCCCACGGCUCAACCGUGGAGGGUAAUUGGAAACUGGGAAGCUUGAGUGCAGAAGAGGAGAGUGGAAUUCCAGGUGUAGCGGUGAAAUGCGUAGAGAUAUGGAGGAACACCAGUGGCGAAGGCGACUCUCUGGUCUGCAACUGACGCUGAGGCGCGAAAGCGUGGGGAGCGAACA
rnacentral:rRNA from 1 species